rnacentral:rRNA from 1 species
UGAAGAACGCAGCGAAAUGCGAUAAGUAAUGUGAAUUGCAGAAUUCAGUGAAUCAUCGAAUCUUUGAACGCACCUUGCGCUCCUUGGUAUUCCGAGGAGCAUGCCUGUUUGAGUGUCAUUAAAUUCUCAAUCCUCCUUUAACAA